GUGCUCGCUUCAGCAGCACAUAUACUAAAAUUGGAAUGAUUCGGAGAAGAUUAGCAUGGCCCCUGUGCAAGGAUGACACGCUAAUUCAUGAAGCCUUCCAUAUUUUC
ensembl:snRNA U6 U6 spliceosomal RNA